UGCGACAGAUGGCACUGUUCUCUGUGGCCAUCGUUUACUGACUGUUGAGGAGCGAUCGCAUGGGAGGCCACAGUAUUAGAUCCCCGUGAUAGCCCUCGCAGUAACACUGUAGAUGCUGGAUGUGGGUCCUGUUCCAGCGUAUUCCGUCUGUCGAGAUACGUCGUAUCAGCAUCCCGCCUGAGGACUACGGCCGCAGGCUAUUCUUCGAAGAUAUUGACGGGGGCCCCACCACAGGCGGCGGAGCAUGCCGAUUUAUUAUGAUGCAACGAGAACAUCUUUUCUUGGGCUUGAUCAUGUUCCAGACGAUCCCAGAUGAUGGUGUCUCCUUUGGGGGCGGGUCACAGGUGCAUCAUGGUCGUCGUCACCUUGUAGUCAGAAGAUGUUGGGUAAAGUCCACAGACAAGCGCACCCUUCGCCGCGUUGUUACCAGUGAAUUAUGCCAGGAAUUCACGGGGGCCCGCGGGGGUUAAUUAGGAGGAAGGUGGGGAUGACUUCUCAUCAUCAUGCCCAUUACGUCCAGGUCUUCACGCAUGCUACAAUGGCUGGUACAAGGGGAUGCAACAGCAGGAGCUGGAGCGGAUCGCUAACACCCGUUCUCAGUUCGGAUAGCAUUCUGCAAUUCGACUGGAAGAAGGGGGAGUCGUUAGUAAUGAAUAAUCACCAACGUGGCGGAGAAGCCGUUCCCCGCCCUUGACCCCACCGCCCGUCAAGUCAUGAAAGUGGGCACCACCCGAAGCCGGCGUCCUACCCCCUGGGGGGAGGCAGCCUUAUAAGGGGAGCUUGAUGAUGGGGAAUAAGUGGUAACAAGGUAGCCGUACCGGAAGGGGCGGCUGGACCUCCUCUUUUCUACGAAGAAUACGGCCGGAUGUUCUUCCGGCGGUGCGUCCCCCGGCGUCGCGGCAGUCGCGGCGUUUGGGGGCUGCUGGUGUGGAAAAGAUCAGGGGUUUUCGGUGCUUCCGUGGGGGGAUCUUCCGCGGGAGUGGGGGGGAUCCGCUUUUGGGCUCCCGGAUCGCCACCCCAGGCUUCGGCCUGGCGCGAUUCGAUGCCCAUCGUGCCUGAUGGCGGGCUGGUCCCGUCCGGACGGCGUGGUGGUGCGUGGUGGCUUGAGAACUGGAUAGUGGACGCGAGCAAGACGGGGUUUCCUUUGAUUCCUCGUUCUUGCUGUUGAUUUCGAAUCGAACUCUAUUUUUAGUGUUUGUUUCGAUCGUUUUGUGAUCAUUUUAGUGUGAUGAUUUGUCGUCUGGGAAUUUGCUAGGAAGGAUCCUUGCGGCCAUGCGCACCGUGUGUUCCCCG
rnacentral:misc_RNA from 1 species